rnacentral:rRNA from 1 species
UACAGAGACUGCAAGCGUUAUUCGGAUUCACUGGGCGUAAAGGGUGCGCAGGUGGCCAAGUGUGUCAGGUGUGAAAUCCCGGGGCUUAACUCCGGAACUGCGCCUGAAACUGCUUGGCUAGAGCAUUGGAGAGGGUAGUGGAAUUCACGGUGUAGCAGUGAAAUGCGUAGAUAUCGUGAGGAACACCAGAGGCGAAGGCGACUACCUGGACAAUUGCUGACACUCAGGCACGAAAGCGUGGGGAGCCAAAGGG